AUCCAGAUGACGAGUCCCAAAUAGGACGAAAUGUGCAGCCUGGAC
rnacentral:hammerhead_ribozyme from 1 species